rnacentral:rRNA from 1 species
UACGGAGGGUGCAAGCGUUAUUCGGAAUUAUUGGGCGUAAAGGGCAGGUAGGCGGAUCAUUAAGUCACAUGUGAAAUCCCUUGGCUUAACCAAGGAACUGCAUGUGAAACUGAUUAUCUUGAGUGUUAUAGAGGGAAGUGGAAUUCCACAAGUAGGAGUGAAAUCCGUAGAUAUGUGGAGGAACAUCAGUAGCGAAGGCGACUUCCUGGAUAACCACUGACGCUGAACUGCGAAAGCGUGGGUAGCAAACAGG